GAUGAACGCUGGCGGCGUGCUUAACACAUGCAAGUCGAACGGAAAGGCCCUGCGUUUGUGGGGUGCUUGAGUGGCGAGCGGGGGAGUAACACGUGAGUAACCUGCCCUUGACUUUGGGAUAACUUCAGGAAACUGGGGCUCAUACCGGAUAUGAGCUCCUGCUGCAUGGUGGUGGUUGGAAAGAUUCGGCGGUUGGGCAUGGACUCGCGGCUUAGCCGCUUGUUGGUGAGGUUGUGACUUACCAAGGAUUUGAAGGGUAGCCGGCCUGGGAGGGUGACCGGCCACAGUGGGCUUGGGGUACGGCCAGGACGCCUACGGGAGGCAGGAGUGGGGAAUAUACCACACUGCGCGGAAGGAUGAAGCAGCAACGCCGCGUGCGAGAUGACGGCUUUCGGGUUGUAAACCGCGUGCGCCUGUGACGACGCGUGAGUGACGGUAAUGGGUAAAGAAGCACCGGCUAAUUACUU
rnacentral:rRNA from 1 species